ensembl:lncRNA
CGGGGGUGAGCGCCGUGGGCCGCCCGGCGUGAGGCACCUGAGCGGCACGCGAAAACUUCAGCGGGGGGAAGGUCGCGGAGGAGUGAAACGAGUCGCCCUGCUACCAGGGAAGGGGGAUGCAAGGACUACAGCCAGCGUUUUUCCUUAAUUUCUGUUUAAAUUGUCUUUAAAUCUUAAAAUGCUGCCUUUCUUAUGAUGCCAGUGAAAUUCCCAAGUAGGUACAAUAAGCAUCUUAAUGGAAUAACUGGAGUAGCUAUGCAGGUGCAUCCUGGUCGCAGGUUGUGUAGAGUUCCAGCAAGCAGCCAAGGGCACUUGGCCAAAACGCGAUGGAGCAAAUAAAUAUUCAGCUGACUUCAGAGAGUAGAUUUUUUUUAAAAACGCGAAAGAGCUUUGAAGACUUUUGGGAACAUUCAGCACAUCUGCUGAAUCAGGCUGCCUGUUCCCAAUCAAGCAGUGUUCUGCAAAUGCAAGAGUACAGGCAUCUCCUGAUUCAGAAACCACUAAAGGAAAGGAUGAAUUUUGUCAGGAGUCAAAAGAUCCUGAAUUCCACUCCUAUAGCCAUUGACUGUUGUUUGACUUCAAAGUCCUCCGUACUGACCUAAACCUCAAGCUUCUACCUAGAAGGAGGUCAGGUGAGCAGUAUACAGCAUGCACAUCUACAGAACAUUCAGCGGUGAACUGCAAGAACAGAAAUGACUGAAAGAAUUUGCACAUGGGCAUCAAAAAAUGAAAAGUAUCCAAAUUUAAAAAUAUAUUCACCUCACAAAGCAAGACUCCCCAAAACAAGGAGAAAGAGUCAAAAGAACAGGGCUAAUUUUAAGAUGUUAGUGACCACACUAUUCAGUUUUUAUCCUGUGUCUGUACCUGUGAUAUCUGAGCUCCCUGAGCAUCCCAUCGUAUGUUGGUAGGUUUCUCAACCUUCACUCUUUUCUUCAAGAGAACAGUGUGAAUUUUUUGAUAGGUCAUUUCUGGUUUGGCUUACUCAGUUCAAGGACUUUGCUAGAGUAGGGACCCAUUAAAUAAUUCCGUAGUAUUCUACAUCAUUUCAGUCCUGCCAUCCAUUUUUCAACAAUAAGUUUGCUGCAGUUCCAAUGCUGAGCACUGAAUUUUCAAAGUUACAGUCAGUUGCAGUACUCAUUCAUCAUUGCCAAAGUUAAGCUACCUGGGCUUCACAUGUAAGGGUGUUCUUCAGGAGUCAGAGCUGCCACUGCCUAGCAAAAAAGGAAACCGAUGACUUGGCUGGCAGUAAAGGUACUCCAUGGGUCACAAAUACCAAGUGCCAAGUUAACAAAUUUUUCCCUUCUGGCUAAAAUUUAAUCCAUAUGCUCUGCAUGAAGUUUAUUUUUUGAGAUGGCAUCUGGAGUACAAAAGAGACAUUACAAUAUAAGAGAAAUAUACUGGCAGUAUGUGAAUUUAUUACAAACCUUUAAAUGGCUUUCUAGUUCCCAUUAAGUGCUUUAUGCUUCAGUUAUCAAAAAUUGUCAGAAAUUCCUUAAGAAACCUUUCAAAAACAAUUACAGAGAGGAGAAAAAGUAGCAGGCACAUCAAAGGAGGUAGUAUGCAUCAAAACCUAGUGAUGUUUUCCUUAGAAAGCUUUCUGUUUUGUCAAUGUUUCCUUUCAUGUAAUAACUCUAUAAGAAUUCUUCUUCCAUUACUAUGAUUGUUUCUAUUGAAUUUGAUAUUCUGUGCAGUCAUUAUCUGCUUCAUGAAGACCUAAGAGCCAUUAGUCAACAGCUGGCUAAAUGCAGUUCUUAAAGUAUCCUUGUACUUAAAACAAAAUGCAACUGAAGAUACAUCCAGGAGAAUGAAAUCCCUGAGUCCCUGCACUUUAUAAGUGAGGCAUUAUUUUUUAUUGCCAAGCCAUGGCCUUGGAACAUUAUAAACCCCUGUUGUAAAAUUUUCAAAAAAAGCACACAUGCACACACACACUGGCUAAAUAUUGCAGUGCUCCAAGCUGUUUAAAAUAAUGGAGGUCUAGCAGUUCCUGACCUAGAAAGCUGUCAUCUUGCUUUUUAUUUAGUAUUCCCCUAAAAAUGGAUCUUCUCAGAUGGCAUGUUUUCAAAAGAAAUUGAAGCAUCUUACUCUAUUAUGCUGAAAUACCCAAUUUACCUUUUAUCCCAGGUUAACUGACAGAAUUGUAAAUAACAUCACUGGAGGGUUGAUUUUGUACACCUAAUUUAAAAAAAAAAAAUUUAAAAAAACACUCUGGUGUUCUGUUUUUUUUUUAAACAUACUCAAUAAACAAUAAUAUAUCCAUGAGCUUGAGUUUAAG